UGCCGGGAGUGGAAUUCUUUGGGGGAGGAGUGUAAUUCCGGAGCUUUAGACUCGGAUACGGACCAUUCUCUCCGCACAGACUUACAUGUCAGUCAUUUAGCAGCUGCUCUUAUCCAGAGCGACUUAAGUGUGUUCAACUAAGUUCUCUCCCGUGGAGACAAAACGAGGGCUGAUUGCUAGGGGCGCUGAAUAGAAGGAAGACCCAUUUACGCAGCGCAAACAGCAUCUAUAAUGGAUGUGGAAGGGAAGGGGAGAGAGAGAACGCCUUCAGAGCCAAGCAACGACCGGUGAGAGAGUUCCAUGGCAGAGGAGAAAGUUUUCUA